rnacentral:rRNA from 1 species
AUUGAACGCUGGCGGCAGGCCUAACACAUGCAAGUCGAACGAGCGGCGGACGGGUGAGUAAUGUCUGGGGAACUGCCCGAUGGCGGGGGAUAACUACUGGAAACGGUAGCUAAUACCGCAUACCAUCGGAUGUGCCCACAUGGGAUUAGCUCUUAGGUGGGGUAACGGCUCACCUAGGCGACGAACCCUAGCUGGUCUGAGCGGAGGACCAGCCACACUGGAACUGAGACACGGCCCAGACUCCUACGGGAGGCAGCAGUGGGGAAUAUUGCACAAUGGGCGCAAGCCUGAUGCAGCCAUGCCGCGUGUAUGAAGAAGGCCUUCGGGUUGUAAAGUACUUUCAGCGGGGAGGCGUUACUCGCAGAAGAAGCACCGGCUAACUCCGUGCCAGCCGCCGCGGUAAUAC